GAUGAACGCUGGCGGCGUGCCUAAUACAUGCAAGUCGAGCGAACAGACGAGGAGCUUGCUCCUCUGACGUUAGCGGCGGACGGGUGAGUAACACGUGGAUAACCUACCUAUAAGACUGGGAUAACUUCGGGAAACCGGAGCUAAUACCGGAUAACAUGUUGAACCGCAUGGUUCAACAGUGAAAGACGGUUUUGCUGUCACUUAUAGAUGGAUCCGCGUCGCAUUAGCUAGUUGGUAAGGUAACGGCUUACCAAGGCAACGAUGCGUAGCCGACCUGAGAGGGUGAUCGGCCACACUGGAACUGAGACACGGUCCAGACUCCUACGGGAGGCAGCAGUAGGGAAUCUUCCGCAGUGGGCGAAAGCCUGACGGAGCAACGCCGCGUGAGUGAAGAAGGUCUGCGGAUCGUAAAACUCUGUUAUUAGGGAAGAACAAAUGUGUAAGUAACUAUGCACGUCUUGACGGUACCUAAGCAGAAAGCCACGGCUAACUACGU
rnacentral:rRNA from 1 species